GGAAACCUAGUCGGCUAAACCCAGAAACCCAAUCGGACACGACCCGAACUUGUAUAACUCGACUCGCCAUUUUCUUCCAUUUUCGGCCACCUUACCGGCCAAGAGAGGUACCAAUAGAAAGCUUGUAAGUCAAGCGUCAUAUCCCAAACAUCACCAUUGCCGGGAAACAUCUAGAAAGCCGCUGAUCAAGCUCGAAAAAUGCGCGGCUCAACCCAUCCCUUCUCACCAAGAUUUUGCUGAAAUUAGGCCGUACCACUGCCUGGAUCUUGCUCCUCAGUUCACCCUCAUCAUUUUUCAAAUGGUCUCGUCACUUGAAACAGUCGGAUUGCCACCGAUCGGCCACCGAAAAGUUCACAGCUUUGGGUACUCAAUUUGUCGUCGUCACCGCGCAUGGAUCAUCACCGUUGGCACCAUUAGACUCAGCGUGGUCAAAAC
rnacentral:lncRNA from 1 species